rnacentral:lncRNA from 1 species
AAAAUAUCCUUAUUAGCACCCACUAGCAUAAACCUGACACAUGGAUAUGGCAAAUUUGUCGACCUUCUCAACUAUGGAAAUUUUAGGUGUCUGUUCAUCCUUUUAAGCUGAUACACAAAUGUUUUUUGUUGGAUUUUCUCGAAAUCGAAGUUUGAAAGUCUCGAUCUUGAAACCUAGAAGCACUCGUUCAUCUUCAAUUUACAAAAGUGAAGGCCAUCUAGAAGAACACAAUCAUUCAGUUACAGACAACCAACAAGACAGAUCAGCUAUGGAAGGACAGAUCUUAACCCUCAAUUGCAUGCCAGAGCUCAAUAUUAUCCUCGUUAUGCUGCUGUAAUAAUUCUAUUAAGAAACUCUUUGUUGCUUCACUUUGAUUCUUCCUUCCUUUUUGUUGCUGUGGUGGAAUUUUCUGGAACUUGAUUUUUAUUCAGACUAAGAUUGUACUUAAACUUGAAGCUGAACACAUUCCACGUUUACUUUUCUUAUUUUCAAAAAAACUUGACUCUUGUUCAACCUCUCUCCCUCGUUCUUGUUCAUCUUUCUCAUUGUAUCUUUACCUUCUUUUUAAUUAUUAUCUCUUACAUUGUUGUGAAGUUUCAUGUAAUUUCACACUCCCUC